rnacentral:rRNA from 1 species
AUUGAACGCUGGCGGCAGGCCUAACACAUGCAAGUCGAACGAGUGGCGGACUGGUGCGUAAUUUCUGGGAAACUGCCUGAUGGAGGGUGAUAACUACUGGAAACGGUAGCUACUACCGCAUACCAUCGGAUGUGCCCCGAUGGGAUUAGCUCGUAGGUGUGGUCACGGCUCACCUAGGCGACGAUCCCUAGCUGGUCUGAGAGGAUGACCAGCCACACUGGAACUGAGAAACGGCCAAGACUCCUACGGGAGGCAGCAGGGGGGAAGAUUGCACAAUGGGCGAAAGCCUGAUGCAGCCAUGCCGCGUGUAUGAAGAAGGCCUUCGGGUUGUAAAGUACUUUCAGCGGGGAGGCGGUACCCGCAGAAGAAGCACCGGCUAACUCCGUGCCAGCAGCCGCGGUAAUUC